rnacentral:rRNA from 1 species
AUGCUUUACACAUGCAAGUCGAACGGCAGCAUGGAGAGCUUGCUCUCUGAUGGCGAGUGGCGAACGGGUGAGUAAUAUAUCGGAACGUGCCUAGUAAUGGGGAAUAACUAGCUGAAAGGUUAGCUAAUGCCGCAUACGACCUACGGGUGAAAGCAGGGGAUCUUCGGACCUUGCGUUAUUAGAGCGGCCGAUAUCUGAUUAGCUUGUUGGUGGGGUAAUGGCCUACCAAGGCGACGAUCAGUAGCUGGUCUGAGAGGACGAUCAGCCACACUGGAACUGAGACACGGUCCAGACUCCUACGGGAGGCAGCAGUGGGGAAUUUUGGACAAUGGGGGAAACCCUGAUCCAGCCAUUCCGCGUGAGUGAAGAAGGCCUUCGGGUUGUAAAGCUCUUUCGCAAGAGAAGAAAACUUGCUAUCUAAUAAAUAGUAAGCAUGACGGUAUCUUGACAAGAAGCACCGGCUAACUACGU